ACGGGUGAGUAAUAUAUAGGUAAUGUGCCCUAGAGAGGGGGAUAACAGUUGGAAACGACUGCUAAGACCCCAUAUGCCUUUAAGACAGAAGUCUGCAAGGGAAAUAUUUAUAGCUCUAGGAUCGGCCUGUACGGUAUCAGCUAGUUGGUGAGGUAAUGGCUCACCAAGGCAAUGACGCCUAACUGGUUUGAGAGGAUGAUCAGUCACACUGGAACUGAGACACGGUCCAGACUCCUACGGGAGGCAGCAGUGGGGAAUAUUGCACAAUGGGGGAAACCCUGAUGCAGCAACCCGCGUGGAGGAUGACACAUUUCGGUGCGUAAACUCCUUUUAUAUAGGAAGAUAAUGACGGUACUAUAUGAAUAAGCACCGGCUAACUCCGUGCCAGCAGCCGCGGUAAUACGGAGGGUGCAAGCGUUACUCGGAAUCACUGGGCGUAAAGAGCGUGUAGGCGGGUAAAUAAGUCAGAUGUGAAAGCCUAUGCUCAACCAUAGAACUGCAUUUGAAACUGUUUACCUAGAGUAUGGGAGAGGUAGAUGGAAUUUCUGGUGUAGGGGUAAAAUCCGUAGAGAUCAGAAGGAAUACCGAUUGCGAAGCGAUCUACUGGAACAUUACUGACGCUGAGACGCGAAACUGGGGAGCAAACAGGAUUAGAUACCCUGGUAGUCCACGCCCUAAACGAUGUACACUAGUUGUUGCUAUACUAGAUAUAGCAGUAAUGCAGUUAACACAUUAAGUGUACCGCCUGGGGAGUACGGUCGCAAGAUUAAACUCAAAGGAAUAGACGGGGACCCGCACAAGCGUGGAGCAUGUGGUUUAAUUCGACGAUACGCGAAGAA
rnacentral:rRNA from 1 species